CCCGCUCGGGCCCCCAGCUUUUGCCUAUAAUGGGCUUAGCUGGUCUUCCGUUUUUUCAAGCGAAGAAGCGUCUGCAAGGGAAGGCAGCGGGCAAACAUUAUCAAUGAACCAUCGUAGAGUGCAGUAUGACAAGAUUAUGGGGACUGAAAGGAGAAGUACAAGAAACAGCAAAUGGAAGUCAUAUUGAUAACAUUUAUCCAGCAAAUGAGCACGCUUUCUGAAUUUCGUUUUACGGCUAAUGGUUUUGUUCCUUGCUCUGGGCCAUGACUUCAUCAAUAAUCCAACCAACCGUUGUUGGGAAUGGAACGUGUAGAGGGAAAUGAAGAAGGGGAUUAGGAUUUAGCAAAAUUCAUUCAUAGAAUAGGGUAUGAGGAAUGCUGACUCGUAGGCACGCAAUCGUGUCCGUGGAUGGCAACUUUAGUCAUUCGCGUCCCGAGCAUGCAGCUGUGAGUGGCUUUAGGAAAGCCCCUCCCUCAUCCCAUGCCCGCCUUGGCUUCGAUAUGAGGCUAUGCGAAGGGCGUAGAGAAAAAUGUCGAGCUGUUGAACGACAGAACCCCUUUCGCCCAGCCACAACUCUGUUCUUACAAUGGACCGACAUCGCAUUUGCUGCUUCCUUCCUUGCUCGCUAUACUGCCUCGCCCAUCGAAGGGCACUGGCAACUCUCGCUCCGACCACACUCGCCGUCUCGGUAUCACGCUCGGGGGGUGGGGGGGGACGGGUGUUGGGAGAAUGGUAGCGAGGUAGGGAUUGGGAUAACAUAGAAAAGAGAGGCCAUGAUGUCAGAUUAAGUCACCGAUGGCCUGCUUAUAGAUUAGCGAGGUGGAUACCUAGAUAUCAUUUAGCUUGUAGUGGCGAGCGUAGAAAGGUAUAUAGGUCCAUCGUAGUUUGGUUUCUACUGCUUUCCUCUAUCUGACUCUGAUUAGACAGAGAGCUAAGCGUUGGUACCAGGUAAGCCUUUAUGUACCUGAUUCUGGUUGGAUAGAUACGCGCUGGUACUAGCCGAAUAAACCAUUAUUCAACAAUAACUCCGUAAUGUGCCGUUUCUAUAGCACAGACCUUUCUCCAUCUUAGCUCGUUCUUUCUUCUUCCUUUCUUCUUUGGAUGCGAUAUAGUGCGCCAUGAACUUGAGACUACACA
rnacentral:sRNA from 1 species